rnacentral:rRNA from 1 species
UUUCUUUGCUGGCGACCGGCGCACGGGUGAGUAACACGUAUCCAACCUGCCCUUUACUCGGGGAUAGCCUUUCGAAAGAAAGAUUAAUACCCGAUGGCAUAAUUAGACCGCAUGGUCUUAUUAUUAAAGAAUUUCGGUUAUCGAUGGGGAUGCGUUCCAUUAGGCAGUUGGUGAGGUAACGGCUCACCAAACCUUCGAUGGAUAGGGGUUCUGAGAGGAAGGUCCCCCACAUUGGAACUGAGACACGGUCCAA